GGGGUGGUAGCGCAGUUGGCUAGCGCGUAGGUCUCAUAGCUAAUUGUUGAGUGAUCCUGAGGUGGAGUGUUCGAGCCUCUCUCACCCCAUAUAUUUUGACAUUUGUCCAUUCAGAUGAAACUGAGGCGAGAGUUCAAACCUCUCUCACCCCA
rnacentral:tRNA from 1 species